UACACGACCGUACCGCAAACCGACACUGGUGCGCGAGAUGAGUAUUCUAAGGCGCUUGAGAGAACUCAGGAGAAGGAACUCGGCAAAUUGACACCGUAACUUCGGAAGAAGGUGUGCCUUUAGUAGGUGAACCAUUUACUUGGGGAGCCCAAUGAGGCUGCAAAAAAUCGGUGGCUGCAACUGUUUAUUAAAAACACAGCACUCUGCUAAGACGAAAGUCGACGUAUAGGGUGUGACGCCUGCCCGGUGCUGGAAGAUUAAAUGAUGGGGUGCAAGCUCUUGAUUGAAGUCCCAGUAAACGGCGGCCGUAACUAUAACGGUCCUAAGGUAGCGAAAUUCCUUGUCGGGUAAGUUCCGACCUGCACGAAUGGCGUAAUGAUGGCCACACUGUCUCCUCCUGAGACUCAGCGAAGUUGAAAUGUUUGUGAUGAUGCAAUCUCCCCGCGGAAAGACGGAAAGACCCCAUGAACCUUUACUGUAGCUUUGUAUUGGACUUUGAACAGAUCUGUGUAGGAUAGGUGGGAGGCUUUGAAGUGUGGUCGCUAGAUCGCAUGGAGCCAACGUUGAAAUACCACCCUGGUGUGUUUGAGGUUCUAACCUAGGUCCAUUAUCUGGAUCGGGGACAGUGCAUGGUAGGCAGUUUGACUGGGGCGGUCUCCUCCCAAAGUGUAACGGAGGAGUUCGAAGGUACGCUAGGUACGGUCGGACAUCGUGCUAAUAGUGCAAUGGCAUAAGCGUGCUUAACUGCGAGACUGACGAGUCGAGCAGAUGCGAAAGCAGGACAUAGUGAUCCGGUGGUUCUGUAUGGAAGGGCCAUCGCUCAACGGAUAAAAGGUACUCUGGGGAUAACAGGCUGAUACCGCCCAAGAGCUCAUAUCGACGGCGGUGUUUGGCACCUCGAUGUCGGCUCAUCUCAUCCUGGGGCUGUAGCCGGUCCCAAGGGUAUGGCUGUUCGCCAUUUAAAGAGGUACGUGAGCUGGGUUUAAAACGUCGUGAGACAGUUUGGUCCCUAUCUUCCGUGGGCGCUGCAGAUUUGAGGAAGCCUGCUCCUAGUACGAGAGGACCGGAGUGGACGAACCUCUGGUGUAUCGGUUGUCACGCCAGUGGCAUUGCCGAGUAGCUAAGUUCGGAAGAGAUAACCGCUGAAAGCAUCUAAGCGGGAAACUCGUUUCAAGAUUAGAUCUGCCGGGGCCUUGAGCCCCCUAAAGAGUCGUUCAAGACCAGGACGUUGAUAGGUCAGGUGUGGAAGCCA
rnacentral:rRNA from 1 species